GCAUACCAGGGCAAAGGAGGAUGCACUGGGCUGGGGGAUGAGCGUCCCAGUGAAGGAGGCAGUGGUGGCUGUUCUGAGGAGAAAGGCACGCAGAGAGCCAGGCACCCUAAGGAGGAUGUUCUCGAGUCGAGGAACCUAAUCUUUCCCAGCAGGGAUCGAAGCAGCUCUGGGCAUUGACAGUCACUCACCAGGCAAUGACUGUCACGUCGGCGCAAAGAGCCAGCCGUCGACCACAUCAAACGAAGCUGUCAGGGGGCCCUGCUUGUGAACUGUGGCAACAAACACCUCCUGAUCCUCACCUACAGCUCAAGAACAGACACCCACUGCUGUGCUUCCAGCCACUGCCUCCGCUGAGAAAAGAUGUUCUGUCCGGACCUCAUUUCCUUCUCCACUGCACCCCUCCCAGCUACCACCACCUUCCCUUGUCUCUCCCCCCCUCUCUGUCAAGUAGUGCUUGUGCUAACCUCGCGUCUGCUGACACACAAAGGCUUACUAAAGUGGGUUUUAUGAGUCCAUGUGAAGGAAAGACUGGUGCUGCUGGAGGUCAGAAAGUGUUCAGGAUGUGAACAACAUAAUACAGUUUUACUCUCAAUUUGAACCAGAGUCACACUUGAUUUUAACGUUUUUGGGUGGUGACUUUAAAAGUCACAGGGUGAAAGGAGGCAAUAUAUUUCAACAGGUUGCGACAAAUACUCUUUCCUGGAUUACCUACAACGUUUGUUAGCUUUGUAGUGAUAGUUGACACUUAAAGUUAGUUCUUUAACAGGGU